rnacentral:rRNA from 1 species
GACGGAAGGUGCAAGCGUUGCUCGGAAUCACUGGGCGUAAAGGGUGCGUAGGCGGCCGUGUAAGUCUGGCGUGAAAGCCCCGGGCUCAGCCCGGGAAGUGCGCUCGAAACUGCGCGGCUCGAGUGCCGGAGGGGAGAGUGGAAUUCCUGGUGUAGCGGUGAAAUGCGUAGAGUAUCAGGAGGAACACCCGGGGCGAAGGCGGCCCUCUGGCUCGACCCUGACGCGUGAGGCGGCGAAAGCGUGGGGAGCGAACGGG